rnacentral:rRNA from 1 species
AUGUCUGCUGACUACAUCAAGCCUAAGGACCCAAAUUUUAGGACCAUACAUCCAAGGAUUCUGAAUGACAGGAGGGCUUAUCCACACUUGAAAGACUGCAUUGGUGCAAUAGAUGGGACUCACAUUAGGGCUUCUAUUCCUGAGGCCGGACAAGUGAGGUACAUCGGAAGAACCGGAGCAAUAACUCAGAAUGUGAUGGCAAUAUGCGACUUUGAUAUGCAUUUCACUUAUGCUUCUAUUGGUCAACCUGGUUCUAUGCAUGACACAACUGUGCUAUAUACCGCAAUGCAUAUGGACAAGGAUACCUUUCCCCAUCCUCCAAAAGGUGAGCUUUUUUACUUGUUGCAAGUUAUGUCAUAUAUCCAACAACUUACAUUCAUUACUCUAUAUGUUAUUUAG